rnacentral:sRNA from 1 species
GGAAGCUCUCCUGCACCCUCAAUCUGCUGGCCACACCCAGGGCCCAGCUCAUCCAGAUGAGCUGGACAGCCCUGCGGGCCGCGUUCCCCGCCCUGAGCCCAGCACAGCUGCACCGGCUGCUGACUCACUACCAGCUGGCCUCGGCCAUGGGCCCCAUGAGCGCCUGGGAGCCAGGGGCCCAGGACAGCCCCGAGGCCUUCAGGUCAGGUAAGCCCUGCCCCAGGGCAGGAGAGGGCUGGGGACUUGGUGGGAGACUCGCCCCGAGGCUGGAGGCAGCAUGCUCUCAUCCCAUCUGAAGUGUAGUGUGGGGGACCUCCGUGGAGGAGCCUCCACCCAGAGGACCCCCCACCCUGUCCCCAACCUGGGGAUCCGGGGACCUCGACGGGGGAGUCAAGGAGCUGAGAGUCCAUGCCCAAGUUGCAAACUCCAGGCUCAGGUCCAAGGCCCCCUCGUUUCCUCAUGCAGCCGGAGGAUGGGGCCUCCCCUCUUGUGUGGCUACCCAGG